GUGCGUGCAAGUGUGUGUGUGUGUGUGCGCGCGCGCGCGCGCGCGUGCGCGAGUGCACAUGCACGUGUUGUGUUGUGUUUCCUCCAUAAGAAAUUCUUUUCCUGGAUUUGUGAUCCCUGUGGAACAUUAAGAACCUCUCCGAUUGAAUCUCAGGGAGGAACCGGAGGUAUGAAUGACAACUGUUUGAGAAGAAGGUCCCAAAUCCCUCUCUUAAAACCUUGGGAUUGUGCUUGAGACUCAGCCCCGAUGUGUUCCGUGGUGAGUCACUCACCUGGUUUACCCACACUGUAUGCUCCCCCUACCUGCCCCUACCUUGUCAUAAGUGCUGAGGAUUGAACCCAUGGCCUCGUUGCAUGUCAGGGCUCCAGUGCAGAUUUAGAUCCACCUUCUGGAUGCUUUGGUCCCUGGAACAAGGCAGCAGGCUCUUGCUAUCAAGAACCUGUCCCUGAGAAGGUGCUGGGAACAUUAAAUCUUCAUGUCUGGAGGACAAGAAAACUAAAAGUACUCAUUGUUCAGUAGCCACUGAGGCUGAUGGGAGGCGGGACUGUGGAUUCACGUGGCUGACGAUGACUGGUCUUCCUGGCCAUAUUACUUUCUCUUUCUUUUAUCAAGUACAGACAUGGCGCCUGCCUGGAGUGGUGGUAUGAGUGCCCAAUCUCAACGAAACAACCAAGGCCACCUGUUCCCAUUUUUUUUUAUUGCUGUUGUUACAUGUGUAUAUGUGACAUAUGUGCAUGUAUGUUCAUGUGUUUGUGGGUACACAUUGUAUGCCGGUGUGUGUGGAUAUGUCUCUACGUGGCCAUUGAAGAAAUUAAAACAGGAAGACUCGAUUGUUAUCGA
rnacentral:lncRNA from 1 species